UCGUGGACGUUUCCAUUUGGCUACCAUCACCUCAUCACCAUCGCGUCGUUGCGGGUUGCGGUACCCACACUCGCUGACGUGUCGUGGACUCCAGGACCUCCAGGGCGGCGACGCGCCGGCAGCCUCAUCGGGUUUGGCGCGGAAACCUACUGCAGCGGCACCAACCUAACCUCAGCGCAGGCUGCCAUCGCUCUGGUCGCUGUCUUCAGCGGGGUCUUCCAAUUUUGUUCUCAUGCUCUACAUCUACCCUGUAGAUCCGAAUUUGUUUGAAUUGAGGGGACAAAUUCGGUUCUAGAGAGGUUUGUGUGGGGUAUACAUUCCAUCGUGGGAAUCGUCGCGUAGUUGUACAGGCUGGCUGUCAAGUCCCGUUGGAGCGGAUGAGCCCGCACGCAGGCGUGCGCGCGGGUUUGCCUAUCGUCACUUACCUUACGGCCCCGAGCCGAUAAUAGGCAACAUUUGCUUGAACGGGGCUGACCGUCUACCCAGGUGGAACACAGUUGAGCAAAAUGAAGUCAUUUUGACAUCAUUUUUGACAAACAUGUUCCCCCUGGGUACCUCCCUCGUAAGUACUCUGUGCUGCCUGUGUUCUCUGUCACUGUAUAAUAAUAAAAACAAAAAAAAGGAUCUCAGACAA